rnacentral:rRNA from 1 species
UGGGGAAUAUUGGACAAUGGGCGCAAGCCUGAUCCAGCAACGCCGCGUGGAGGACGAAGGUCUUCGGAUCGUAAACUCCUGUCAGGCGGGACGAAGGCUUCCGGGCAAAUAGUCUGGAAGCUUGACGGUACUGCCAGAGGAAGCCCCGGCUAACUCCGUGCCAGCAGCCGCGGUAAUACGGAGGGGGCUAGCGUUAUUCGGAAUUAUUGGGCGUAAAGGGCGCGUAGGUGGCGACCCAAGUCCGUGGUGAAAGCUCGCCGCUUAACGGCGAGUCGGCCACGGAGACUGGGUGGCUCGAGCACUGUAGGGGCAGAUGGAAUUCCGGGUGUAGCGGUGGAAUGCGUAGAGAUCCGGAAGAACACCAGUGGCGAAGGCGGUCUGCUGGGCAGUUGCUGACACUGAGGCGCGACAGCGUGGGGAGCAAA